rnacentral:lncRNA from 1 species
CCCAUGCCUUCUGUCAUGAGAGAGAAAACAUACAAAGCAAAAUCUCAGUUUCUCUUCUCAUUGAAGUAAUCUGCCAACAGGUUGCGUCUUUUCUUAUAACCCUAACAUGAGGACAGCUGCAUUGCUAGGAGCUGUUGCCAGAGAGCGGUGACCAUGUCCUCCUUGGCCUCCUGUCUUUUGUUUAUCUCCAUCCCCAUCUCCAAGGUUUCUGAUGUUUUACUUGCAUCUUUGCUGUCAGGUGGAUGUUUUGGGGUUGAAGAUGAGCUUGUGUAGCAAAGAGAAGUGAAAUGGUGAAUAUGGUUUCUUUAAGUACAUGCUCAGAUUCUACCUCUCAGCUGUCCUGGAAUGGGCUAUGACUGAUCAAAAUUAUUGUACUGCAACAAAUAAGCUGCAACAAACAAGCUGCAACAAACAUUUUACAACAAAUUCAAAGGACAGCAGUCCAUUAGAAAACAUACCGACCAGGAAGACACCUGAAUUUUCAAGCCUCAGGAUUAGACGUUGCAGUAAAAAGGUCAGUAAAGUCUCCUUUUUAAAUUUGUGAUGGAUCAACAGUGUGCAUCUGAACUUAUAACAUC